rnacentral:lncRNA from 1 species
GGACACAUUGCCAUCAUCGGACUGCUGUGGAGCUUGCUAUAGGAUUAAAACAAGUGACUCGACCUCUGACUGCUGUUUGAAGAGUGGAGACGAGCUUCUGUGUGCUGGUUCUGUGGUUCUGGUCCAGAUCUCAGUUUAUUUCCGGGUUUUCGUCAAAACCGAAACUUAACGAACUUCAUUUCAAGAUGCAGUGGAAGGUCAUUCUCGGUUUCGUCGCAGUGGUUUUCAUUUUUCUGCUGAUCACCUUAAUCGGAAACAGAAAGCCAAUGGCAAGAACAGAUCCCGGAGAGUCCGAUCUGAUUGGCUCAGAUGAACCAAAACCAGGCAUAGUAGCCCGUCUCAUGGGCUCACAGCAGGUUCAUGGUAUGUAAAAACAAAAUAAUGCUGUCUCUCGGUCCUUCAUCGUACUUUGUACUUGAUUACUACAAGAAAAUGUUUAAUUCUUA